AAUCUCAUUCUGUCAUCAUAAAACUCUGACUAUAGCAACAUCUGUCUAGAGCUGGACAGAGCCCCAGUGACCCUGUGCUAACACUGUAUCCCUGGUGGUCAGAAAGCAAGCAAGAAAGACAGUUUCAUCAUCCAUAAGACUGUUGUCUUCACUAAUAUUAACUUCUCUGUACAAUUGGGAAUUGAUAAAAUGUGAGGAAUCAAUUUGGAGUUGGGUGUUCUGGGUCAUGAAUAGUACCUGAGUGCCUGGACCAGAAGUUUGGAUAGUACAGAUCGAGCAGCAGCAGUCCAGCACAUCCCCGGAAUGGAGGGAAGCCAGGAGUUUUUAUCUGAAGAAUGGAGACUGCACUCCUAAUGUUAUUAUGUGGAUUCAAGGAUGGAAUAAAAGUUAAAGCAACUAGCAUAAAUGUAGUAAAAGCUUUGUAGAACAGGAAAAAGACAAGAGCUACCACCUGGAGAGUAGAAAAUUUGGCAACAAAGAAGUAUCUUAAAACUACUCAACAGAAUUUGAAUCUUUCCUGAAAUUUGAUCCACACAUUUCUUGGCAACGUAUCGUUACCAACCCUCAUACUAAAUUUCUUUGUUAGAUGUACAAGUUGGUGGUGAUGUCGGAUAUGAAACUACUAAAGAAGACCAUGAAAACCCACUACCAAAUUAUGCAAGCUAUCCUUUAUAUCAUUUAAAAAAUAUCACAAUAUACUAGUUCUUUUCCUACCAAAAUUUACUUUCUUAUGAAUACAAUCUUCAUCAAGACAAAACUUGACUGAAAACACAGUUAAAGAACAGAAGAAAAAGAUACAGCCAAGUCUAGUUUUAUUUGAUUCCCCCAUGAUGGUCUGUUCUCUGACCUGAUGCUUCUAUUGCAUAAUAAAGUUGUGGAGGCAAGAACACUCGUCCUUGUGCAAAUCUACUUAAAGAAGUUUUCUCAUCCUCCGCAUUGAGAGACAUAACCCCAUGUCAGUCUACUUGACCCAGAAGCAUUCUCCACUGAAGCUACUCAAUAGGAAUAUGAAACCUGCUAUCAUUCGAGGACAGUGUAAAACCUAAUGACUUCAGCAUAUGCACACCAAGUAAUAGCAAAUCAUACUUUGUACACUUCACCUUCAUUUUAUAAUCCAGCCCUUUGUAUGCAGUAAUGAGGUAUGUGCUAUAAGGAAGAUUCUUUAAUAGGAUUUAAUGCACCUGUGAGCAAAGGCAUUUUAGCUUUUUAUCCCCGGCAGCACUGUAACUGAAAGCCUUUAAUACUGAUGUGAUGGAAUAUAAAUGCAGAAAUAUUAUAAUAACCAGAACUUUUCAAAAAGUUUACAGUCUUUCUGUGACAGAUUAUUUAACUGGGAGUCAAAAUUAUGCCUUGAGAGAGGUGUAAAUAAGGGCAUAUGGAAAUUUUGUGGGGAACCAACCAACGCUUGUAAAUGUUUGCGACUUAGAGCCUGUGCCUGUGCUGGGAUCAGCUUCAAUUUAUUGGACUUCUUGGUCAGGAAGCUUAGAUCCCUUUAUUUUCUCACCAAAUGUUGCGGGAAGAAUGCCUUUGGGAAAUGGCCCUAUUUUUGGUAACUUCCUGCAGCAAGUGGACAUACGCUUUUAAAGGAGAAAUAAACCUUGCAUGUGGUUGUAUGCUUUCUAUCUACAUAACUUUUCAUAUGCAUCGGAUGUCAAAUCCGGAUUCUGUUGGCUUAAUGAGAAAUCUUCAGAUAUUUAUUCACAAACUUGUGCCUGUU